CAGGGAAGGCUUUCCAGGCUCGUCCGCGGGCAACCCAUCAGGAAUUAUUGACAAGACAAUUCCUGAUUGUGGAGAAAAGAAAAGCUGUUACAAAUAUGGAAAACUAAACUGGACAGGUUGCCCGCCUGACUGCUAUUGCGACUCUGUAGAUCCCAGGCGUCACCUCGAAUUCGGAGCAGGAGUAUGCUCGGUUAAAUGGUGGACCCGCAAAUGAAGUGACUGACGUUUCAAGCAGCGUCUUAAACUUAGCUCAAGUUCUUCUUUUUUUAUAGGGUAGGUGUCAAUAAGUAAUUCUAGAAAAUGUUAUUCUCUCCCGUCAAUGAGCGGAAAAUGUUGGGUGUGGAAGGUCUAUUUUACGAGUAGUAAAGAUAAUGAUGAAGCGUU